rnacentral:lncRNA from 1 species
CUCCUGUGAACAACACAGCACACCAGUAAAGGAUGCUCAGAGUGGGGCUGCUCACACGGACAUUAAAAUGAGGCAGGGAAAAGUCUUUCUGAAACACGACUACUGCUUUCCUUAUGCCACAAACAAGCUAAGCUGACCGAUAAUGCUGUCCCCUCCCCGCCAAAACUAUCAGAGCAUGACAACAGUAACAAAAGAAACAUUAAUUUGGGGGCUUUAUUUAAUUUCUUUUUUUCUUCUUCCUUUUUUUUUUUUUUAGAUGCUACAUCAUCAAACAGGAUUGGUCUUUUUACGGCAUAGGACUAGUUUACUACUAAUAUUUUUUCCCCUAGAUAGACUUAUUUACAUACAAAAACAGUUUCCUGACCACUGUUUCCCCAAUGCUCAGAUGAUCAGAACUCCCAACAAUUGUGUAGUGCCCAAAACUACAGGAGGCAGAAGAAUCUUGCAUCACUACAGCAGCAGAUUUUUAGUUCUAGUCACUGGCUUUAGAACAGGUGCCUUUUCAUACCAUAAAGCAUUAGUCAAUUUUGUGACAGGAAGGAAACAUGAGAUGAAAUACAUUAAAUAAGUUAAAUAUGCAUUAAACAUCUCUGAAUAACACUUUAAUUCAACUAAAUGAACCAACAGCAAUGUAGCUUGGUCCCUCCAUAAGAACAAGGCAUUGACUUUUACUCCAAACUAGCGUCAUACCAGUCAAUAUACGCCUCUUAAUGAUGCCUAGCACAUUCAGCGUUGCCACAUACAACUCUUUCCAGCUUCUCACUAUUCAUUUAAGUGCCAAGAAAUUGGUAACUUGCACAGAGUUGAAGACACUGACAGAAAAACUGUUAAAUUUAUGAGCAGAAUGGUGGAUUAACGUAUUUUACAGAACUUAUCAACACCUCCUGCCUAACCCAGCUCCAAACAUCCAAUAGGGCCAGCUCCAGCAGUGGAGGAAUCUUUUUUUUUUUCUAUUUUUCCUUUUUUUUCCUUUUUUUUUUUUUUUUAAAAAGAGGUCAUCCAGCAACAUGUACCAGGGACUAAGAAUGUUUAAAAUGACAUAUACAAUAUUCCAUUGUAGUGUUAAAUCAUGAUUUUCUUCCCCCUUCAUCACUGAAGAAUAUUCUUUCAUUCAUUCCCUCAUUGUACAUUUUAAACUUCCUAGAUUAUGUUACAUAGUAUUUGUGCAGGGGUAAUUUAAAGGCAAGACCUGUGAGAUGUCAUACAUUAAUUUUUUUUUUAAACACUGUUAUGAAUAAAUUUAAUCCAAUGAUAUGGCAGAACCAUCAAACCAAUUUACAAUUUCCAGCAUGCUGCCUCUACAAGGCUAUUUUUCCUAUAAUUACACCAAUGACAAAGAACAAAACCACCAAAGCAAGUAGUCUGGAGCUGUGCCCUUCAUCCUUGACAACAGCUGCAGAAGCAGAUAUUGGGUUGUUCGUCUGGGGUGCCUUUCUCAUCCGAAGUCCAUCUUCUUCCUUAAACUGUUUAUUCUCCUCCCGUAACCUCUGAACUUCUACUUGAAGCCUCUUAUAUUCUUCCAUUACUUUCUUAACUUCAGUGUCAUCCAAGGAAGAACUUAUUGAUUUAGACAUUACAGAGGAAUCUGUCUUUGUUGCAGUUGUGGAUACGAUUUUAUUUAUUUCUAUGUCAUGAGGCUUAUCAUUUUCCGUCGGUAGCUCAAACACACACCUAAGUUUUGAGUCCAUGAGUUCCUCCGGCUUUGCCUCUU